UUUGUGCAUAGAUAUAGGAUCGGCUGUUGGGAAACAUACAUUAGUGUUAGUGUGGUAUGGUUGACCGAAGGAUGAUCAGUUACAGACAGAUCGUCAUGUGAUUUGUGCUGAAUUUCGAUUCAAUCCCAGUUUUGAGUCCUGUAAUCGUAACUCAAGUUUAUUAGUUACUACAUAUAGAAGCUCGUACUAGCAUUUUUCUUGUACUGGUAUAUUACCAUCACAGUACUACCAUAUUUUUGUCGGCAUCACUGGGCACAGUUGGGAAGAGGUACACAGAUACAGGAGGCUCCUCACCAUCCCAAUAUCUAUUCAACCCUAUAUACAUAAUGUUUAUAUUUUUAAAAAUUUAGAAUAAUAUUUUUGUAUUUACUUCUUCCAGUAGAUCGUUGAAUGUUACAACUGCUACCAGUACUAGGAUCUGAAUGAGGACCAUGUUGGGGUCUUUUGCUGGAACCACUUAUACUUGAUGAUGGUGGCUGAUAUAUGGUAGUCGGCAGGGCUGUCUGGUCCCAGUGGUGGCGGUUCUUGGGCUGGUUUUCUGUGUAGUAGUGAGGGCUAUUCCCUUGCCACUAUCACUUAUUACCUGCCUGACAGCAUCAUUGACCGUGUUUCUUAGGCUGUUGGCAGAUUUUUCAGAAUAUACAAUAUAAUAUUUGAUAAUAAUGUAAAAUUAUUACUUCAAGUCAAUUAUACCGUUUCUCUCCUUGCUAUGCUUUCUAGGUGUACUUGUAGGUUAACUUUCUCACCUUUGCUAAUUUUAA